GACGAACGCUGGCGGCGUGCUUAACACAUGCAAGUCGAACGAUGAAGCCGGAGCUUGCUCUGGUGAAUUAGUGGCGAACGGGUGAGUAACACGUGAGUAACCUGCCCUUGACUCUGGGAUAACUGCUAGAAAUGGUAGCUAAUACCGGAUACGACCCUCGGAGGCAUCUCCAGGGGGUGGAAAGAAUUUCGGUCAAGGAUGGACUCGCGGCCUAUCAGCUAGUUGGUGAGGUAACGGCUCACCAAGGCGACGACGGGUAGCCGGCCUGAGAGGGUGACCGGCCACACUGGGACUGAGAUACGGCCCAGACUCCUACGGGAGGCAGCAGUGGGGAAUAUUGCACAAUGGGCGGAAGCCUGAUGCAGCGACGCCGCGUGAGGGAUGACGGCCUUCGGGUUGUAAACCUCUUUCAGCAGGGACGAAGCGUAAGUGACGGUACCUGCAGAAGAAGCACCGGCUAACUACGUGCCAGCCGCCGCCGUAA
rnacentral:rRNA from 1 species